rnacentral:rRNA from 1 species
UUUACUACAUGCAAUCGGACGGCAGCACAGAGAAGCUUGCUUCUUGGGUAGGCGAGUGGCGAACGGGUGAGUAACAUAUUGGAACGUACCGAGCAUGGGGAGUAACUAAUCGAAAGAUUAGCUAAUACGCAUAUCUUCUGAGGAAGAAAGCAGGGGACCAUUUGGCCUUGCGCUGUUUGAGCGGCCGAUAUCUGAUUAGCUAGUUGGUGGGGUAAAGGCCUACCAAGGCGACGAUCAGUAGCGGGUCUGAGAGGAUGAUCCGCCACACUGGGACUGAGACACGGCCCAGACUCCUACGGGAGGCAGCAGUGGGGAAUUUUUGGACAAUGGGCGAAAGCCUGAUCCAGCCAUGCCGCGUGUCUGAAGAAGGCCUUCGGGUUGUAAAGGACUUUUGUCAGGGAAGAAAAGGGCGGGGUUAAUACCCCUGUCUGAUGACGGUACCUGAAGAAUAAGCACCGGCUAACUACGUG